rnacentral:rRNA from 1 species
CGAAUGUGCCCUUCGGGGGAAAGAUUUAUCGCCUUUAGAGCGGCCCGCGUCUGAUUAGCUAGUUGGUGAGGUAAAGGCUCACCAAGGCGACGAUCAGUAGCUGGUCUGAGAGGAUGAUCAGCCACAUUGGGACUGAGACACGGCCCAAACUCCUACGGGAGGCAGCAGUGGGGAAUCUUGCGCAAUGGGCGAAAGCCUGACGCAGCCAUGCCGCGUGAAUGAUGAAGGUCUUAGGAUUGUAAAAUUCUUUCACCGGGGACGAUAAUGACGGUACCCGGAGAAGAAGCCCCGGCUAACUUCGUGCCAGCAGCCGCGGUAAU